CGCCCGCCGCGCGCGGCGGGCGGGGCGGGGGCACGGGGGGCCUACGGGAGGCAGCAGUGGGGAAUAUUGCACAAUGGGCGCAAGCCUGAUGCAGCCAUGCCGCGUGUAUGAAGAAGGCCUUCGGGUUGUAAAGUACUUUCAGCGGGGAGGAAGGGAGUAAAGUUAAUACCUUUGCUCAUCGACGUUACCCGCAGAAGAAGCACCGGCUAACUCCGUGCCAGCAGCCGCGGUAAU
rnacentral:rRNA from 1 species